UUUUGUUGCCUGCGCUUUAACUAGCGCGGCGACACAACCUUACACACAGUGCUUAUUUUAUUAUAACAUUGCUUUGCGUGACUUCUCUCGGGGAGUUGCGCAGAGGUCAAAACAAACACAGAUUUUUAUUAAUCUUUGCUUAAAAACUAGUCAAGAAGUUUUCUUAAAAACAAAUCUUCAAAACUUUCAACAACGGAUCUCUUGGUUCUCGCAACGAUGAAGAACGCAGCGAAAUGCGAUACGUAAUGUGAAUUGCAGGUUUUCGUGAAUCAUCGAAUCUUUGAACGCAUAUUGCGCCCUCUGGUAUUCCGGAGGGCAUGCCUGUUUGAGCGUCAUUUCUCUCUCAAACCCCCAGGGUUUGGUAUUGAGUGAUACUCUCUUAACCGGGUUAACUUGAAAUACUGUGGCAAGAGCUGCUUACGGCAGAUCUCCUCUGAACUAACGUUUCUAGGUUCUACCAAUUCGUUACGGUCAUUGGAAAGACGUCUAAGCUCAUGGGCUCGGCCUAUACAAUAUCUCCAUAAGUUUGACCUCAAAUCAGGUAGGAUUACCC
rnacentral:rRNA from 1 species